rnacentral:piRNA from 1 species
UCUCCCAAAUGCUAGGAUCACAGGUGAGC